rnacentral:sRNA from 1 species
ACACGGGAAAGGAGGUGGUCCAGAGAAUGCAUUCUUCUAGGACGCGUGAGGUGGCUGCCCGCUAGCAGCCCAGCAUGACCGUCGGUCCAGUGACCGACCGGCUGCUGGCGAAUCCACAGCAGUCACCCGGCCCGCAGGUGCCCCGGUCACAGAGCUACGUCCACCGGGGGCGGUCGCAC